rnacentral:rRNA from 1 species
GACGUAGGGGGCAAGCGUUGUCCGGAUUUAUUGGGCGUAAAGAGCUCGUAGGCGGCUCAGAAAGUCGGGUGUGAAACCUCCAGGCUCAACCUGGAGACGCCACCUGAUACUGCUGUGGCUAGAGUCCGGUAGGGGAACACGGAAUUCCCGGUGUAGCGGUGAAAUGCUUAGAUAUCGGGAGGAACACCAGUGGCGAAGGCGGUGUUCUGGGCCGGAACUGACGCUGAGGAGCGAAAGCGUGGGUAGCAAACAGGG